rnacentral:rRNA from 1 species
GUAGGUGGCAAGCGUUAUCCGGAAUUAUUGGGCGUAAAGCGCGCGCAGGCGGUUUCUUAAGUCUGAUGUGAAAGCCCACGGGCUCAACCGUGGGGGGUCAUUGGAAACUGGGGAACUUGAGUGCAGAAGAGAAAAGCGGAGUUCCACGUGUAGCGGUGAAAUGCGUAGAGAUGUGGAGGAACACCAGUGGCGAAGGCGGCUUUUUGGUCUGUAACUGACGCUGAGGCGCGAAAGCGUGGGGAGCAAACAGGAUUAGAUACCCUGGUAGUCCACGCCGUAAACGAUGAGUGCUAAGUGUUAGAGGGUUUCCGCCCUUUAGUGCUGCAGCUAACGCAUUAAGCACUCCGCCUGGGGAGUACGGUCGCAAAGACUG